AUCAGGACACAACAGAGACAAACCACCAUGGAGUGUGUGCUCGGCUGGGUUUCCCUUGUCGCUAUUUUAAAAGGUGUCCAGGGAGAGGUACAGCUGGUGGAGUCUGGGGAAGAUUUGGUGAAGCCUGGAGGGUCCCUGAGACUCUCCUGUGUGGCCUCUGGAUUCACCUUCAGUAGCAGUGAAAUGAGCUGGGUCCACCAGGCUCCAGGGCAGGGGCUGCAGUGGGUCUCAUGGAUUAGGUAUGAUGGAAGUAUCUCAAGGUAUGCAGACACUGUGAAGGGCCGAUUCACCAUCUCCAGAGACAACGUCAAGAACACGCUGUAUCUGCAGAUGAACAGCCUGAGAGCCGAGGACACGGCCAUAUAUUACUGUGCCGACACAGAACCAUCUGGUUCUGAAGGUCAUGUGUACUUGGUGUGCUCAGCGACCAGUAGCUUCUACUGGACCAUGAGGAUCCUCAGGGAGAGGAGCUUCAUUGAAGGACCUUCGACCUGCAGGGCAAAACUCAUGGAUGCUUCAGGUGCUUAUGUCAGCUAA